rnacentral:SRP_RNA from 1 species
GCCGGGCGUUGUGGCGGACGCCUGUAGUCCCAGCUACUCGGGAGGCUGAAGCAGGAGAAUGGCGUGAAACCGGGUGGUGGAGGUUGCAGUGAGCCAAGAUCGCACCACUGCACUCCACCCUGGGUGACAGCGCGAGACUCUGCCUCUG